UACCUACUAUACAGGUUCUCCGUGGGACUGGAGGCUCCCUGAGGGUUGGGAUUAUGCCAGAUGCCCAGCCCAGGGCCUGGCAUGGACCAGGAGUGCCGUGAGUCUUAGCAGAGGGAAUAAAUGAGCAGUCUGGGAACCACUGGGGCCACCCCAUCCUCGCCCCACAUGAUGACUCUCCUCACUGCUUCUAGUUUGUUUACCCCACAGCAACCCACUUCAGUUUGGUCAAAAGCUCCCAUUCUUCUGAGGACAGUCCCUCAGCUACUGGAGUCACUUCGCUGUUUGGGCAAGGAACUGGAAGUGCCUGGGAAUUGAUGCCCCUCCCGGGUGGCCUGUAGAUGAUGACUGACUCAGGAGUGUGAAGGCCCUGAUUUCAAGACUGAACAAACCCAGGGGAAAUCUGGACGCAGAGACAGAGACAGAGGAGAAUGCCAAGUGAGACUGGAAUGAUGCUGCCACAAGCCAAGGAAUGCCAAAGGUUGCCAGCAAACACCAGAAGCUGGGAGAGAGACGUGGAACAGACCCUCCCUCAGAGCCUCCAGAAGGAGCCACCCCUUCUGACUCCGUGAUUUCAGAUUUCCAGCCUCCAGAGCUGUGAAACAAUAAAUUUCUGUUUUUUAAGCCAA